rnacentral:rRNA from 1 species
CCUACGGGAGGCAGCAGUGGGGAAUAUUGCACAAUGGGCGGAAGCCUGAUGCAGCGACGCCGCGUGAGGGAUGAAGGCCUUCGGGUUGUAAACCUCUUUCGCCAGGGAAGAAGGGUGACUGACGGUACCUGGAAAAGAAGCACCGGCUAACUACGUGCCAGCAGCCGCGGUAAU